GCCUCUUUAGCUCAGUGGUGUAAGCAUCCCCAGCCAACUAUUAGCUAAAGAAAUCAUGUCUAACAAUCAAGCAGAGAGCGAGAGAUUGCAGUUUAUACAACUAUCUCUAGGUCAUUAGUUCGAUCCUGAUAGGAGGCU